rnacentral:rRNA from 1 species
UACGUAGGCAGCGAGCGUUGUUCGGAGUUACUGGGCGUAAAGCGUGCGUAGGCGGUGUCUUAAGUUUGUUGUGAAAUCUCCCGGCUUAACCGGGAGGGUGCGGCGAAUACUGAGAUGCUGGAGUGCCGGAGAGGUAAGCGGAAUUCCUGGUGUAGCGGCGAAAUGCGUAGAUAUCAGGAGGAACACCUGCGGUGUAGACGGCUUACUGGACGGUAACUGACGCUGAGGCACGAAAGCGUGGGUAGCAAACAGG